rnacentral:rRNA from 1 species
CAGUAGCCACGGUAAUACGAAGGGGGCUAGCGUUGUUCGGAUUUACUGGGCGUAAAACGCACGUAGGCGGAUCGAUCAGUCAGGGGUGAAAUCCUGGAGCUCAACUCCAGAACUGCCUUUGAUACUGUCGAUCUCGAGUCCGGAAGAGGUGAGUGGAACUCCUAGUGUAGAGGUGGAAUUCGUAGAUAUUAGGAAGAACACCAGUGGCGAAGGCAGCUCACUGGUCCGGUACUGACGCUGAGGUGCGAAAGCGUGGGGAGCAAACAGGAUUAGAGACCCCAGUAGUCCCUGUCUCUUAUAC